rnacentral:lncRNA from 1 species
GAGGACAACUAAGGAGCUGCAAUGGCUGCCCUUGGAGCAGGGACGGCUGUUGACCCAUUUGUGUUCCCUUGGCCACCCCCCAGGGUUCAAAUAUAGACUAAGCAAGCCCUGCUUCUCUGCCUAAGGUCAUUCCUGACCAUUGGUGUGAGCUGAGACUAUCAGUGAGAAGAGGAGUUAAUAUCACCCGUGCUCCUUAAAGGAAGGAAGUGGGAGAGUGGAGAAGGAAGCAGCCUUCUGUUGCUAAGCUUGUGAAUUGGACGGAGUGAAGCUUGGCCAUCAGCAGGGCAAUAAGGAUGGUUCCUUGAGGAAAAGCCCAAAGCAAGUAAGUCAAAGGGCAAGCCUCCAAGAGCACUCGAGGGAACUUGAUGAGGACCAGACCCAUCAAUGUCACAGACAAUCCAGACAAAUUAGAGGAGACUGUGAAGUGGAGGAAAGAGUAUCUGGGCCUCAGCCAUGGUGAUCUUCAGUAGAAGAGAAGAAGAUUCCAACCCCCAGGCAUUGAGAAUGAGAGCCUGACUGCAAUGGGGCACAUCCUAGAGGCCAGUCAGGGCCAGGAGAUGAGGACAAGGACAGCGCAAAGGAGUUCGCCAUUACUACAGUUUUGAUGUUCUGGUGACACUUCUCACCAGUGCUAUGGUUUUGGUGUUCUGGUGAUGCUGCUUGGGUGAUGAGGCUGCAUUGCCUGCUGGGAAGAGUCUGCCCAUGCAGCAAGUUCAGCAGAUAUUUUGCUACAGUAAUUGAAAACGAUACAAUAUACCCUGGGAAAACUGAAUCACUUUCUAAAAUGAGGUAACAGAAAAUCUCUUGGGUGCUGUGAGAAAUGAAGGAAAUCUGUGAUGUCUCACACAGUAAACCUUGAAGAUGAAACAAUAGCCCGGGGCAGUUAAGAGCCAGAAGACUGGAAGAGGUAAGCAUGACGUGGAUGGACCCUGAAUAUUGGGCAGCCUGCCUUUGCUUUCAGCAGGGGGUGACCCCAAGCCUGGGUGGUGUCCAACUCCUUUAAUAGUUGGGUAAUGCAGAGUUGGGUUAUAUUUGGAAAUGAGAAACCCUCACUAUUUUGUAAUAUAACUGUCAAAGAAGAUUUUUA